CAACAACAAAAUUGCUCCCAACUUUGUAUGCCAAGUUCAAGUCUGGAGUGACUAUUUUUAGUGCCCUUCAACGGAAUAUACUCUGGAGUUUUAUCUUCUAUAGAUUCUUUAAGGUUGAGUCAGCUGCUUGAACAUGCUGGUGCUAGGACACUGUUUCUAAAGGUGAAAUUGCUCCUGAAUUGAACAAAACAUUUCAAGGUCAAGCACAAAGUAGAUAUUACAUAUCCUUAUGUAAAUAAUAAAUAGAACAUUCAAGCUAUGUGCAACCUAUUUACAAAAAUAUGUACUGAAUCUUGGUACAGCUGAUACCAUACUUGCAAAUAACAAGCCAAAUUCAUCCUUGCUUUAAUUUUAUGUAUUUAUUUAACUGUUAUCUGCAGCCUCAGCAUACAACCAAAAUUAUAGCAGUUGCAAUUUUAGACAUAUUACCGGAUUUUCUAAUGCACAUAGAUAUACAUGUGUAUUUCUUCUUAAAGGUAGUGGAAGUUCUUUGCAUGUUAUGAGACUUAACCUAUACAUAUAUAACCAUAAUACUUUAUAUACAUAAAGUUUUUCUUCCUGAGAGAUACCAAAGAAUCCAGUAUGAAAAUGCUCUGGGAUGAAAUGGUAUAGCUGUUUUAAGCAUAGAGCAACACUAUACAAUAGAUUAGAACAAGAAGAGAAGAAUAAUAUUGAAUACUUUUGAUUGAAACUGAAGAAUACAAUUAUGCAAAUUGGAAAUUUGUUUUAUAAUCUGGGCAUCCCUCUCUCUAAAACCAUUAUAUGCAGGCUGUGUCUGAAUGUUGCAAUUUCUUCCUGUAUAACAUCUCCAAGAUCCAGCCUUUCCAUUCCAUCCACACACCUAAAACACUUUUAUCCACAUCCUCCUUCUUGCACUUUGACUAUUGAAAUCUCCUCCUCUCUGGCCUUCAUACCCUACUUAUAUCCAUUCAAAACACUGCUGUAAAGAUCACCUUCCUCUCCCUUCUUGCAUUCCUCCUGUCUCCGUUUUUUUUCCACUGCAUCAUGAACAAACUGUCUUUCACCUUAAGACCCUUCUAGUCUACUCCAGCCCUACCCAUCGUCUCUUACAUGCUACAGAGAUUUAAACUCCCACUGCACCAACAAUACCCUCCUUGAUUGCCCAUUUGUCAAAAUUUUGGAUAAACAGUCUUGUGCUUUUUCUGAUGCCUCUACAUUAGACACUGUAAGAACUUCCUGUAAAUAUCUGUAACACACUCUGUUAUACUCCUUUCAGUUUCUCCUAAAAAACAACCUCUGUCAUGAUGUUUCCAAAAUGCUUCACAAUAGUGAGGCAAGUGGUAUCUGUGACUGCUGUUUAUUACACUGGUCAUAACUGACUCACAGUAAUUGUCUUCACACUGUCUUUUGUCUUAAAAUGGGGAUCUUUGGGACAGGGACCAUCUCUUUGUUAUAUUUUUUUUUGUUCUGUGUCUAGCACAAUGGGGCGCUGGCCCCCAAGAACUAUGGUGAUAUAAAUUAUUUAUAAUAAUAGCAUCAGUGAUAUACACCUACCAUUUACACAGGCAUGUUGAUUGCAAGACCAGCUCAAAGAUACUGUAGUUCAUUUACUUUUUUUUCUGUCUUAUUAAGAACAGCCUAUUGAGAGAGUUUAUUAAUUAAACAUGGACUCAGAAAGCACCCAAGCAGUGGAAUUACAGCAUUUUGAAACAAGAGCUCCAAUCUUUUUUUGAUAAAUGCUGAUGUCUUCUGUACCCACCAGGGACUUUCCACGAGGGCAGUUGUGACAAACAUCUCAACGCUGAUAUUCAGAAUUGAAAGCCUUAGGCUACAAAGAAAAUGUCAAUAAAGGCUAGAAACAGCAGACAGCUACAAUCUAUGUGCUACUUGUAAUCCAUCUGUGAGCAAGUCCCAGGGCUCUCUAAAAGGGACAACAGCUGGUCACCUUCAAAGAGAACAUGGUUACAAAAUAGCUCCAUAAUUUUUUUUGUUUUAUUACAAUCCCAUUAUUGUUAGUCCAUUGUUUUGUGUGUGUUUUGUUUUUGAAUGGUCUUGGCCUCAUCCUGCAAAGUACUGAGCAGUACCUGUGAAUUCAGUGGGAGUUGAGAGGGAACAUUGUAUCUUUCUGGAUGGGUCCCUUUUCUAGGGAAAAUUUGAACCCUACUUUUCUUAGGGCUCUUAAUUCUCUGUCUCACUCUCUCUUUUUAAAAUCCGCCCCCGAAACAUAUAACUAGAGCCUAAUCAUCCUGUCAGCUGCAUGAAUGCAACACUCAGCUGACUGGAUGAUCUGGCCCAGGGACUCUGACUCUAUGGCUUCAGUGGUUACAGGUUUUCAGAAGCUUAUAUCAUCACUUCAGUUUCCAAUGCUAGUCCUCCCCCGGCAAGUCUGUGCUAUCCAACUGCCUGACUCUGCCAGCUUAUUAGUGAAAAGUACAUGAGAGUGAGUGCUCCUCCUCGAUUGUAGGGCUCAGUCUUACAGCCCUUACAUCUAUGUGGAGGAAAGCCAGGCCAUGUGAAUAAAUACACAUGGAGGGCUGCUGCUAAGGCACCAUGAUCAAAGAAAGAAACUUGUUUAGUCAGGACUGUUUCAGCACUGCUCAUAUUUUUCUGGCAGGGAAGGGAUGCAAACCAUACUGAGAACAUGUAUUUAUGGGUAGGCACAAAUCAGAUACUUCUGGUUUUAAUAUUUAUCCAAAAAUUGCACUAUUAUAUUGAUUUUUUUUUUAAAUGUAGGAACAUUUUUAGGAUUACAUGCGAAUCUACUUUAAAACCUAUGUGUGAUUUACAGCAGUGCACUUACUUUAUAUGGAGUAUUAUGUGAAGAAACUUUUGAAUGGGCACCUACACAAUGUUCAUUUUAGGGAAGUUUUUAAGAAUACAUGCGUUUACUUCAUUCUCAAUGUUCAGCUCUUGCUCUGGCAGGUCAUAGGAAGAGCGGGGCUCCACGCAUCAUAAAAUACAAAUCUGACUGAAACAGCAGAUGCGGUUGGUGAUUAUUUAGGCCUCCUAAGCCUAGGUUUUUUGUUU